CCCUUGUCAUUAGGUGCUACGCAAGAGCACUCUUAAUGAGACUGCCGGUGACAAACCGGAGGAAGGUGGGGAUGACGUCAAGUCCUCAUGGCCCUUAUAGGUAGGGCUUCACACGUCAUACAAUGGUCGGGACAGAGGGUCGCCAACCCGCGAGGGGGAGCCAAUCUCAGAAACCCGAUCGUAG
rnacentral:rRNA from 1 species